rnacentral:rRNA from 1 species
GACGUAGGGCGCGAGCGUUGUCCGGAUUUAUUGGGCGUAAAGAGCUCGUAGGCGGCUCGUUGCGUCGGCUGUGAAAACCCGCAGCUCAACCUUGGACCUGCAUUCGAUACGGGCAGGCUAGAGUUCGGUAGGGGAGACUGGAAUUCCUGGUGUAGCGGUGAAAUGCGCAGAUAUCAGGAGGAACACCGGUGGUGUAGACGGCUUUCUGGACCGUAACUGACGCUGAGACACGAAAGCGUGGGUAGCAAACAGG